CCUCAUUCUAACCUUCACAAUUUAAAUUAUUUUCAUAUAACCGCACACAUUUUUAGCACACACAGAGAGACAGAGAAAGUGAGUAAGUGUGAGAGAGAGAGAGAGAGAGAGAGAGAGAGAAUCAGUGCUAUUCUCUGCACAAAAAAAUCUCUCUCAGGAUAGACCUUGUUUGGAGACACCAAUGAGACAGUACAAAGACUGAAAAGGAAUGGAAUGUAUUUUUCAAAAGUGAUAAAUCCUUGAGAGAAGACACAAUAGAAACAGUAAAGGGCCCUGGACUCAAACUCCCUCUGUGCAAGUCCUGGCUGUGUUUCUUGCUACCGGCGUAAUGGUAGUGCUAUUUAAGCAGCAGUGCAUGUCUCCUCACAUUUGAAAAUAUUGAUUGGGUCUUGAAGACAGAAUAACAAGCGCCAGAACUCAAGCAUUUUGCCAGGAGUGGUGCUGCCUCAUCAGUACUUCAGAUCCAGGCAGGGAAACUGUCAGCAGAACUGCUCCAAAGUCUGCUUUGUGAAAUGCACAUAAGCGGUCUCCCAGACCCACUUUCCAUCCUUCUCCUUUCUGAGGAGGAGGUGGUUAGAAAAAAAAGAAGAAGACAACAAAAGAGUAGAUGAGAGAGAUGUGGCAAAAGAAGAGGCAGAAGAGAAGAGGCAAGAGAAGGAUUCUCCCACCCAUUGCUGUCUUUAGAGAUGCAGGCUAUGAGCCAAAAAGCACAGAUAGCUCCGGAAGCUGAGGACAAGCCACACUGCCCACACUCCCGCAACUGCCCAGAACUGAAUUUUGCCAAUUACCUGCAUAAAUCAGAAAAUGGAUGCUCACUAGAGUCUCCAGAAGGGAGCCUGGCUUGCUGACACCUAGAUUUUUGUCUUGUGAGACUGAUCAGAGGAAUUAUCCCAGCACACUUGACUUCUGAAAUUGUGAUAUAUCUAUGCCUGCAGAAACCCAUGACAUGCAGAAACUAU
rnacentral:lncRNA from 1 species